GGCGUUGUCACCGCUGUGGCUCCUCCUGUCACUGCUGUGAAGUGGGUUUGAUCCCUGGCUGGAGAACUUACACUUGCUGUGGGCAAACAAACAAACAAGUAGUUGAGUGAAGUGUAAAAGCUUUUUCAUAUUAAGAAGUGAUACAACUAAUGUGGUUGCCAGGUGUUUAAGGCCACCAUGAUUGAGUCUUGGUCCACCGCUGUAUUACCUUGGGCCGGUAGUCUAACUUUCCUGUGCCUCAUUUUUCACAGUUGCAGGCUUGUCUGUGAGGAUUAAAUGCUGCACCUUCCUUCCUUCCUUUAUUUUACUGGGACUACACCAAGGACUAAUCCCAGUCUAGCUGGAGAGUCAGGCCCAGACACAAUUAUCAAAUGAUAGCAUAGAGCUACAAAUUUGGGUCUGGAACAUAGUAGAUGCUCAAUAAAUAUUAGUUGAAAGAGUGAACGCAACUCUGGCUGGUGGUCUCAGGAAGAGUUCAUGAACAAAGUAAUUUUUGAAUCAGCUCUUGAAAAAUAAAAGUCUGUCUGUUGGAGAAGGAUAUGUGUGAACCAUAUUUCAGAGUCAAAGAGCAUGGCACCUGGGUAAUAGGAGUGGGGUGGUGAGGUCAGGGAGGAGCAGCAAGAAUUCCUUCUUCCUUCUUUCUUGUAGAUUGGUGUCUGCUGUAGUUUCUGGGCACUACAAUCAUUGAAAUAUUCUUGUUUGGGAAACUUGCCUUUGCAGAGGAGGCAAAACUUUACCUCUACCCUUUUAGGGUCUUCAGUUGGACCUGAGAAUUUCAUUGACAUAAGACAGAUUAACAAGAGAAAACAUUCAAAUUUAUUUAAUGACUUGUCUUUUGAUCACCACCAUUCUGCCACUGAGCUGUACACCUCCAAAUUGAGUUUUUCCUAUAUUUUUCUUCUAUAAUUUUGUUUUUCAUAUUUAUUACAUUUUUAGUCCUCCUCAAGCCAGUCUUGUAUAAGGUGUAGAAGUGAUAAAAUAUGGUAAUUGAGGCCUUGAUAUAUUAGUUUCUGGGGGGGAUUAUCAAAGUCUUCAGCUACAAUUAUGCAUCUAUCUAUUUCUCCCUGAAGUUCUGUAUAUUUUAAGACUAUAUAAUUAGGUGCAUCUGUGUGUUUUACCUGUCGCAUUUGUAUGUGCCUACUGCUUAUGAAUAUGUAGUGACUUUUUAUCAUUUAUUAUCUUUUAAGACUA